AACAGGAUUUGAUACCCUGGUAGUCCACGCCGUAAACGAUGUCGACUUGGAGGUUGUGCCCUUGAGGCGUGGCUUCCGGAGCUAACGCGUUAAGUCGACCGCCUGGGGAGUACGGCCGCAAGGUUAAAACUCAAAUGAAUUGACGGGGGCCCGCACAAGCGGUGGAGCAUGUGGUUUAAUUCGAUGCAACGCGAAGAACCUUACCUGGUCUUGACAUCCACAGAACUUUCCAGAGAUGGAUUGGUGCCUUCGGGAACUGUGAGACAGGUGCUGCAUGGCUGUCGUCAGCUCGUGUUGUGAAAUGUUGGGUUAAGUCCCGCAACGAGCGCAACCCUUAUCCUUUGUUGCCAGCGGUCCGGCCGGGAACUCAAAGGAGACUGCCAGUGAUAAACUGGAGGAAGGUGGGGAUGACGUCAAGUCAUCAUGGCCCUUACGACCAGGGCUACACACGUGCUACAAUGGCGCAUACAAAGAGAAGCGACCUCGCGAGAGCAAGCGGACCUCAUAAAGUGCGUCGUAGUCCGGAUUGGAGUCUGCAACUCGACUCCAUGAAGUCGGAAUCGCUAGUAAUCGUGGAUCAGAAUGCCGCGGUGAAUACGUUCCCGGGCCUUGUACACACCGCCCGUCACACCAUGGGAGUGGGUUGCAAAAGAAGUAGGUAGCUUAACCUUCGGGAGGGCGCUUACCACUUUGUGAUUCAUGACUGGGGUGAAGUCGUAACAAGGUAACC
rnacentral:rRNA from 1 species